AUUUGGUUGGAGAGCCAUUUGACAGGUUCCGGUAAGGUUGCGGUGUAAUGUAAUAUACCGGAUUUAAAUAUAAAAAUAGAAAUAAAUAAAAAUAGUAUGAGAUACUAUUUUUAUUGAAUUUAGAGAAGUGAAAUAUAAGUUGGGAAUGACCUGUGCUGAAAUCGGAAUUAAAACAGAAGAUUUAGAAUUUUCUGUUGGAAACGGGGUAGAUAAAUUAGCAGAAAAUGCACAGUCUCAGAAAAUUAUGAAAAUUGGCAGAGAUGUCAGAAAUAUUUUUAUGAGGCUAGAUUUAAGGUUUCAUAUUUUUCUGACACCCGUAG
rnacentral:lncRNA from 1 species